UACGGAGGGUGCGAGCGUUGUCCGGAAUCACUGGGCGUAAAGGGCGCGUAGGCGGCCUGAUAAGUAGGGGGUGAAAUCCUGCGGCUUAACCGCAGGGCUGCCUUCUAAACUGUCAGGCUGGAGCACUGUAGAGGCAGAUGGAAUUCCGGGUGUAGCGGUGGAAUGCGUAGAGAUCCGGAAGAACACCGGUGGCGAAGGCGGUCUGCUGGGCAGUUGCUGACACUGAGGCGCGACAGCGUGGGGAGCAAACAGG
rnacentral:rRNA from 1 species